GUUUUCAUAGCUCAGUUGGUUAGAGCAUGGUUCUAUUGAUGCCAAGGUCGUGGGUUAGAUCCCUCUAUGGCCA
rnacentral:tRNA from 1 species